rnacentral:rRNA from 1 species
AUACGGAGGGGGCGAGCGUUGUUCGGAAUUAUUGGGCGUAAAGGGCGCGUAGGCGGCCUGACUUAGUCGGAUGUGAAAUCCCUCGGCUCAACCGAGGAACUGCAUUCGAUACUGGUUGGCUAGAGUCCGGGAGAGGGUAGCGGAAUUCCCAGUGUAGCGGUGAAAUGCGUAGAUAUUGGGAAGAACACCGGUGGCGAAGGCGGCUACCUGGACCAAAACUGACGCUGAGGUACGAAAGCGUGGGGAGCAAACAGGAUUAGAAACCCCGGUAGUCC